rnacentral:rRNA from 1 species
UACAGAGGGUGCAAGCGUUAAUCGGAAUUACUGGGCGUAAAGCGUGCGUAGACGGUUACAUAAGUCGGGUGUGAAAGCCCCGGGCUCAACCUGGGAAUUGCAUUCGAGACUGCGUAGCUAGGGUGCGGAAGAGGGAAGCGGAAUUUCCGGUGUAGCGGUGAAAUGCGUAGAUAUCGGGAAGAACACCCGUGGCGAAGGCGGUUCUCUGGGACGGUACUGACGCUGAGACGCGAAAGCGUGGGGAGCGAACAGG